UACGUAGGAGGCGAGCGUUGUCCGGAAUCACUGGGUGUAAAGCGCGUGUAGGCGGCCUGCCAAGUCUGCUGUGAAAGCGCCGGGCUUAACCGGGCGAGGUCGGUGGAAACUGGCGGGCUGGAGGUCGGUAGAGGGGGGUGGAAUUCCCGGUGUAGUGGUGAAAUGCGCAGAUAUCGGGAAGAACACCCGUGGCGAAGGCGGCUCUCUGGGACGGUACUGACGCUGAGACGCGAAAGCGUGGGGAGCGAACAGG
rnacentral:rRNA from 1 species